UACGUAGGGUGCGAGCGUUAAUCGGAAUUACUGGGCGUAAAGCGUGCGCAGGCGGUUUUGUAAGCCAGAUGUGAAAGCCCCGGGCUUAACCUGGGAAUGGCAUUUGGGACUGCAAGGCUAGAGUUCGGCAGGGGAGAGUGGAAUUCCUGGUGUAGCGGUGAAAUGCGCAGAUAUCAGGAAGAACACCCGUGGCGUAAGGCGGGCUCUGGACGUAAGCUGAUCGUGACCG
rnacentral:rRNA from 1 species